AGGCCUGGAGAGAGAGGCAGAGUCUGAUCCCCAGCCCCUGUGGCAGUUGUUGAUCCGCCAUUGUCUCUCUCUUUCUUUCUG
rfam:Myotis davidii contig154556, whole genome shotgun sequence.